UUCCGGUUGAUCCUGCCAGAGGUCACUGCUAUCGGUGUUCGACUAAGCCAUGCGAGUCAAAUGUUCUUCGUGAACAUGGCGUACUGCUCAGUAACACGUGGAUAACCUGCCCUUAGGUCCGGCAUAACCCCGGGAAACUGGGGAUAAUUCCGGAUAGAUCAUAGAUGCUGGAAUGCGCUUUGAUCCAAAGCUAUUGUGCCUAGGGAUGGGUCUGCGGUCUAUCAGGUUGUAGUGGGUGUAAUGUACCUACUAGCCUACGACGGAUACGGGUUGUGGGAGCAAGAGCCCGGAGAUGGAUUCUGAGACAUGAAUCCAGGCCCUACGGGGCGCAGCAGGCGCGAAAACUUUACAAUGCGGGGAACCGCGAUAAGGGGACACCGAGUGCCAGCAUCCUAUGUUGGCUGUCCAUAUGUCUAAAUCACAUGUGUUAGCAAGGGCCGGGCAAGACCGGUGCCAGCCGCCGCGGUAACACCGGCGGCCCGAGUGGUGGCCACUAUUAUUGGGUCUAAAGGGUCCGUAGCCGGUUUGGUCAGUCUUCCGGGAAAUCUGACGGCUCAACCGUUAGGCUUUCGAGGGAUACUACCAGGCUUGGGACCGGGAGAGGUAAGAGGUACUACGGGGGUAGGAGUGAAAUCUUGUAAUCCCUGUGGGACCACCAGUGGCGAAGGCGUCUUACCAGAACGGGUCCGACGGUGAGGGACGAAAGCUGGGGGCACGAACCGGAUUAGAUACCCGGGUAGUCCCAGCUGUAAACUAUGCUUGCUAGGUGUCAGGGACGGUGCGACCGUUUCUGGUGCCGCAGGGAAGCCGUGAAGCGAGCCACCUGGGAAGUACGGUCGCAAGGCUGAAACUUAAAGGAAUUGGCGGGGGAGCACUACAACGGGUGGAGCCUGCGGUUUAAUUGGAUUCAACGCCGGG
rnacentral:rRNA from 1 species